rnacentral:rRNA from 1 species
AGCUUGCUAAUAAUUCUCUAGUGGCGCACGGUGAGUAACACGUGAGUACCUGCCUCUUAGUGGGGGAUAGCCCUGGGAAACCGGGAUUAAUACCGCAUACGGAAACAAAGCAGCAAUGCGCUAGGAGAUGGGCUCGCGGCCUAUUAGUUAGUUGGUGAGGUAACGGCUUACCAAGGCGAUGACGGGUAGCCGGUCUGAGAGGAUGUCCGGCCACACUGGAACUGAGACACGGUCCAGACACCUACGGGUGGCAGCAGUCGAGAAUCAUUCACAAUGGGGGCAACCCUGAUGGUGCGACGCCGCGUGGGGGAUAAGGUCUUCGGAUUGUAAACCCCUGUCAUGUGGGACAUUAAAAAGAUAGUACCACAAGAGGAAGAGACGGCUAACUCUGUGCCAGCAGCCGCGGUAAUACAGAGGUCUCAAGCGUUGUUCGGAAUCACUGGGCGUAAAGCGUGCGUAGGCUGUUUCGUAAGUCGUGUGUAGAGGCAGGGGCUCAACCCUGGAUUGCACAUGAUACUGCGA